rnacentral:lncRNA from 1 species
GUAAAUUGCAUUGUAUAGUUGGCGAAGUCACUUGUCACUUGCCUUCACAAGCAAGAAGAAGGCACAAGGUUCCUCUCAAAAGCAGGAAGAUAAAAUGGAAGAAAGGAGCACUCUGACCUGGCUCAUCGAGUUUUCAACGAUCAAAAUAUGCAAAUAGCAAUACUAUCGAAGAAAGGUAUAUAUACAUCCAAGAAGAACAGUAAAUGGAUCUUCAUCUCGCUCAAAACCGAUCACUAAUGCACAUGCAAAGAGCAAUACAUCCAAGAAGAACAAUAUCUUCAUGCCCUCCAGUAAAUGGAUCUUCAUCUCGGUCAAUUCUCCUUCCAUGCAGAUGCACAUCGACCCCUCAAAUAAUUCUCUGAAAGAACCAACCCCGAUAAUCAACGCGAUCGAGGAUCUGAUGCACAAGCUUACUUACUGGCCUACUGCAGCUUAAAUGGUCAAGGGCGCGCGCGAACUGCGCGUCGAUCGAUCUCCUCAAUGGCGCCAUGUCCUUCCCUCGCUGCAUCCGCGAGCGACGACCACAGCGCGCCACCGUCAAUUCAGCGCGGGAAGAGGUCAGACCAGGGCGCUCCGCGGGCGGCGGCCACGUCGCGGUUGGGGACGAGGAAGGCGAGGGCGAGCAGCGCGAGCAUGAGCGCCACGGGGACGAGCAGAAGCAGCCACGGCGGCGGCGGCAGUGGGGGCAACAGCAGCGGGAGCAGCAGGAGCGCCGCCGCCGCCCCCGCCACGAGAAGCGUCGUCGUCGCCACGCUCCCUUCCAUGUCCGGAGCUUGCUCGCGAGCUCGCUGCCUGUGUGACGAGAGCUUGACAAAGCUAGAUAGCAGCUAGAGGGGCGUGUGGCUGGCUGAUUCUUGGUGCGCGCGUCUCCUAAGAUGGAGUGGCACACACACACACACAAAGCUUCUUGCCGAUCUAGGAUGCUACAGGAGAACACAUUAACGACAGAGCUGGAUCGUGCACACGUCGCCCUCAGUAUGACGAAUUAUCCAACCUACCUGCGUAUACGUACCGUGCAUGAUGACUGCAAG